GACGAACGCUGGCGGCGUGCUUAACACAUGCAAGUCGAACGGAAAGGCCCUGCUUUUGUGCGGUGCUCGAGUGGCGAACGGGUGUGUAUCACGUGAGUAACCUCCCCUUUACUUUGGGAUAACUUCAGUAAACUGGGGCUAAUACCGGAUAUGAGCUCCUUCUGCAUGGUUGUGGUUGGUAAGUUUCGGCGGUUCGGGAUGGACUCGAGGCCUAUCAGCUUGUUGGUGGGUUAGUGGCUUACCAAGGCUCUGACGGGUAGCCGGACUGAGAGGGUGACCGGCCACAUUGGGACUGAGAAACGGCCAAGACUCAUACGGGAGGCAGCAGUGGGGAAUAUUGCACAAUGGGCGGAAGGCUGAUGCAGCAACGCCGCGUGCGGGAUGACGGCUUUCGGGUUGGAAACCGCUUGCGCCUGUGACGAAGCGUGAGUGACGGUAAUGGGUAAAGAAGCACCGGCUAACUACGUG
rnacentral:rRNA from 1 species